rnacentral:tRNA from 1 species
GAGGUGAUAGUUUUACUAGACGUUCGAUUUUUGAUUGUAUGGUGGCCGGUUCAAUUCCGGUUUUUUUCU